AUGAAUCUGCACGUUACUGCAGAUAAGCCUCUACUUCUGCAAUUUUUUAUUCAGACAAAGGCUGGAAAGAAAACGACGUUGGGGGAAGGGAGAGAUAAGCAGGUUGGCUGCAGGGCCCAGGCGCUGCCCGGAAGGAUUCGAACCCUUUUCCAGAGUCUCCAUCAGCGCCCCCCGCCCCAUUACAAAAGCCACCGUUUACUGAGCAGUUUCCCCGCACCCACAAGGCACCCUUCUGGUCGACCUCGGGAACCCAGGAUACCCGCGGUGUCCGGAGCCUGUCCCCCACGAGCCGGCGCCCCAUCACCUCUUCCUCGCAAACCCAGAGGUGCGCAGCCAAGGCGCAGAGACCCCGGGGGAGUGGGGGGUCCGCGGCGCGGAGUCGGGGGCCGCUGGCCUGGAGGACCGAGGGCCGGCCCGGCUCAGCCCGCUCUGGAAGGCGGAGGUGCCACAUCCCCAGCCUCUCUCUGCCGCCUGCCUCCCUCCCUCGCCCGCCCGCCCGCCCGCCGCUCGGGGCCGGGAUGCGCCACGUCCCUGCCCGCCGAGGCUGCGCUCCGGCCCACUGCUCCCCUGCCCCGCGGUGCCCGCCGCCGGCCACGUAAAACGGCCGCAGAGGCGGAGCCUGCCCGCCGGCCGAGGCCCAGCGCGUCCCGAGCCCGUUACCCCCAGACCCCAAGCCCCGGACCCCGGACCGAAGCCUCGCAGGCCGGCCGCCUCGCCGGCCGUCGUGUGGGGCGCCCCGGUCUCGACCCAAGUCCCGACCCCGGAGCGCCAGCGCGGAUACCUGGCAGCACCUCCAAACCGGGCACGGGACAGGCGGCGUCGACAGCGCGGCAGCGCAACGGCGGCGCGUCACAGAGCUUAAGACGCGGCUUCCGCCCCGCCCCCCGGGACGCCCUCGCCGCCCAUUGGCUGGCGGCAGAGGGCUGGGCACCAAUCGCCGUGCGCCCGGCCUCCGCCCCGCCCCCCAGACUGCCGCGCUUCGGGGACCCCGCCUCCCACCACGGGUUCGAAAGGCUGCUCGAAUCUCCUUGGCGCGACUGUUCUGGGACGCCACCGCGUCCCUGCGCUUCCCGUGCUGGCCUGGCCCGUGCCUUUCAGUCGGUCGCUCACCUCCCGCCCUUUGCUGGCGGGAAGACGAGGCCUGAAAGGAUGAAAUGUCUGUUGGGCGCCCUUGGGGCUCGCGGAGUCUCCUGGGCCCCAGCCACGAGGGUAUGGACCACAGGCUCGAUCCCCAGCCCAGGGCUCCUUGGCCGAGCUCCCGUUCCUUGCCACGCAAAGCCUUUUGUGGGGCUCCCACCCAGCUACACCUCAGAUACGGCUGCGGGACCCCUCAAACCCUGUGAGCUUCUGAACUCACCCCCAGAAGUCAUCACGGCAGCUGGUAAACACACGGCCCACCUCCUCGUGGCACCCCGUUUCACUCAACAGAGUCCCUUGAGCGCCUACAUGCCUGCUUCUGUAGAGGGUUUCACAUCAAGCAAGAGCACAGGGGUCACUUCAGGAAGGAGAAAUUCAGGAAGUGCUCUUUCAACAGGAGUGAACUGAAAUCUCGCAACCUUGACCAUCUAAAAGAGCUAUAACUACACAAAAAGAGGAAAGAAGUCAUUUUCUCCUAUCGGCAACCCUCAAUUAUUUGGUACCAAGUAAAACAAUUUAUGGAUUCUGCAGGCCUCUGACUUAUUGCUUCCUUCAAUGUCUAACUCGUUAUUACUUGUCAUUAGUGUAGCCUACAUAUACUUGGCCUUGACUUGAGUAAAAAGGAAAACUCCGAGCUGACAGCCAAGGAGAAAGACUGGUAAAGACACUCAGAAAAUAAGUGUUUGGUGAUAUUUACCCAGCAGGAGAAAUUUUCCUUCCCUCCAGAUUUCAUUUACCCUAAAAAGAUACCUUCCUACUAAAGACUUGGCAACUUUGCAGGGCGCGUCCUCCCAGCUGCUACAGCCCUGGGCUGGGUGGGGCAGACAUUUGAAUCUGAAAUAAACCUGCUUAAGUCCAGAAGGGAUCUGGCA
rnacentral:lncRNA from 1 species